rnacentral:rRNA from 1 species
GUGCCCAGAUGGGAUUAGCUUGUUGGUGGGGUAACGGCUCACCAAGGCGACGAUCCCUAGCUGGUCUGAGAGGAUGACCAGCCACACUGGAACUGAGACACGGUCCAGACUCCUACGGGAGGCAGCAGUGGGGAAUAUUGCACAAUGGGCGCAAGCCUGAUGCAGCCAUGCCGCGUGUAUGAAGAAGGCCUUCGGGUUGUAAAGUACUUUCAGCGGGGAGGAAGGGAGUAAAGUUAAUACCUUUGCUCAUUGACGUUACCCGCAGAAGAAGCACCGGCUAACUCCGUGCCAGCAGCCGCGGUAAUACGGAGGGUGCAAGCGUUAAUCGGAAUUACUGGGCGUAAAGCGCACGCAGGCGGUUUGUUAAGUCAGAUGUGAAAUCCCCGGGCUCAACCUGGGAACUGCAUCUGAUACUGGCAAGCUUGAGUCUCGUAGAGGGGGGUAGAAUUCCAGGUGUAGCGGUGAAAUGCGUAGAGAUCUGGAGGAAUACCGGUGGCGAAGGCGGCCCCCUGGACGAAGACUGACGCUCAGGUGCGAAAGCGUGGGGAGCAAACAGGAUU